UCAGCAAAUUUGUUACUUAGGGUAAGUACUUUCAAAAUCUGAGGAGAAAAGAAAAGGUGCAUUUUUGGUCGCAGUAGCACUUUAAUCAUAAUGACGAGAAAAG